UACGUAGGGUGCAAGCGUUGUCCGGAAUUAUUGGGCGUAAAGAGCUCGUAGGCGGUCUGUCACGUCGGAUGUGAAAGCCCGGGGCUUAACCCCGGGUCUGCAGUGGAUACGGGCAGGCGUAGAGGCAGGUAGGGGAGAACGGAAUUCCCGGUGUAGCGGUGAAAUGCGCAGAUAUCGGGAGGAACACCGGUGGCGAAGGCGGUUCUCUGGGCCUGUACUGACGCUGAGGAGCGAAAGCGUGGGGAGCGAACAGG
rnacentral:rRNA from 1 species